CCGAGCCGGAAUUCGAACCCAUGACCUCCGACAUCCCAAGCGCGGGCUCUUUCCGCUGACCCACGCUGCCAUGGGAGAAUGGGAGCAGUACAGGCCGAUGGGAGAAAAGGGCUCCAGACUCCUCUCAGCUGCAGAAGGGAAAUACUUCGAGUACCUAGCAGAGAGCUCCGGUGCUCAGUUAUAUGUUUUUGAUCUCUCCCAUCUGUUUCUGCGUUCUGCUCAUUGAUUGGCCACGGCUAAAUACUGUUCCCCAUGCAACCGAAGAGCCCACAGCAGCAGUUGCUAAUCCCAGUAAGAGAGGCAGGGGAGUCUUCCGCACAUAUAAAAUAAAACAAGAGAAACCCACUCUAGAUAGGAGUCACUCAAAAUUAAAAAUAUAGCCUGCAAAUCGGGACAAAGUAACGUGACAAAAGGUACAGAGACUUGUUUGUUCUCUCAAAUGAAGAAUUUCCUGUUCAUUCGUCUGCUGAAGCCAGAGGUAAAUUAUGGCUUUCUUCCAAUGGCAAAUCCAUGUUGAACUUUUUUUUAUUAAUAGUGUCACGAAUUAUAAUAUAAUAAAAACACAUUAAUCCUCGUGUUUUUCUUUCUGG